rnacentral:lncRNA from 1 species
CCAAAUGGGGCAGAUUUUAUCCAAUCUGAUUGGAAUCCGAGGCGGGUUUAGGUUUAAUAAAAGUACUCGAGGUGGGUUUAGAUCAGCUAUAGAUAAUGAUAUAUCCCAUCUUAAAACCAACUCGAUAUAAUCUUAAUCUAAAUUACUCUUUCAAAAUUAUAAUUAUUUUAUAAUAUUUAUAUAAUGAGUUCCUUAUCUGAUCCAACCAUUCUUGUCUAUCCGAUCUAAUUAGACCCAAGGUGGAUAUAGAGCGAGUACAGGUAUGAGAUUUUUAAUUGUGAGGUAGAC